UUUUUGAAAAUAAUUUAAAGUCUAAUCUGCCCACUGAUAUUAUAUUGAAGGGCUGCAGUAUUUUGACUGUACAAAGGUAGCAUAAUCAUUAGUCUCUUAAUUGGUGACUUGUAUGAAGGAUUUGAUGAAAUAUAAACUGUCUCAUUUUAAUUUAUUGAAUUUAAUUUUUUAGUUAAAAAGCUAAAAUUUAAUUAAAAGACGAGAAGACCCUAUAGAGUUUAAUAAUUUAAUUAAUUAUUAUUUUAUAUAAUUUUUUUUUUAUUAAUUAAUUAAAUUAUUUUGUUGGGGUGAUAGAAAAAUUGAAUUAACUUUUUAUAUAAAUUAACAUUAAUUUAUGAAUAAAUGAUCCGUAAUUUACGAUUAUAAGAAAAAAUUACCUUAGGGAUAACAGCGUAAUUUUUUUUUUUAGUUCAAAUAAGAAAAAGAGUUUGCGACCUCGAUGUUGGAUUAAGAUAAAAUUUAAAUGCAAAAGUUUAAAAUUUUUGAUCUGUUCGAUCAUUAAAAUCUUACA
rnacentral:rRNA from 1 species